rfam:Rattus norvegicus chromosome 6, whole genome shotgun sequence.
AUGGUAUUUGAAGGUGCGGUUGACCAUGGUGUGUACGCUUUAUUUAUGACAUAGGACACAUGGUCUACUUCUUCUCAAUAUCAC